CCAUACACAUGCCACACGAGGACAAGACUGGAGACCAGUGCGAAUUUAAACCACAUAUUGACUGUCCGGGGUAAGAUGUGUUUGUAGCUACUGGAAGCUAAAAUGUGCCUGAUUCUGACAUGAUUAUCAUUAUUUUUUCUUUAUUCUUUUUACUACUUGGGUCUUUUUGCCACCGCUUCUGUGUGUGACGUAAGCUGUGACGUUGACAAAUGAUUGGUCACUUGUGUUGCGAUGUCAGCAGGGUUGCCAAGUUUGCGGUUUUAGUGCGGAAUUUGUCUGAUUUGUUUUAAACUCUUGCAGCGGGUUGAUUUUCUCCCCGCGGGUUAAUGGUUUGACAUAGUGCAUAAAUUGUAUUUGACUGAAAUUCUUGUAUUGAAACACUGUAUAUUCUACCAAUGAUAAUCCUGCGCGAGAUGUUACAUUAUGUGAAGGAGGGGCCUUUGAGUUCUGUUUAUGAUCGCUACGAGACUGUGUUUUUUCAGUUUGCAUAACAAUGACUGUAAAAUAUGUAUUUUAGGAAUAGGAAUUGCACUUUUUUAAGGUUUUAUAUUUGGGAUGUGGUGAUUGGGCUACUUUUGGUCGAGGAUUUGCCCAUAGGGACAUUUUGGUUUCGCAGACCUGGCAACCCAGGAAGGGAGUGUACACAGAGAGUCCUGCUUCAGCCCUUUUCUUUUUCUCUAAAAUAUUUCAGCUUCAAAGAUCAGCACGUCGCUUCUUCGACUGAUGGAAGUUAUGUAUUUAAGAAACUGAGUCUGUGGACUAUAUAACGACAUUCAGGUGAGUUCCGCUGGUGUAAAGUUAUAUUGCAGUAGUUUGUUGUCGAGUGUUUUCCAGGAAGGGAGUGUACACAGAGAGUCCUGCUUCAGCCCUUUUCUUUUUCUCUAAAAUAUUUCAGCUUCAAAGAUCAGCACGUCGCUUCUUCGACUGAUGGAAGUUAUGUAUUUAAGAAACUGAGUCUGUGGACAUAUAACGACAUUCAGAAUCACAAUCAUGAAUGCUGUAAAUGCUGUGCAGCUGUUCAUUCUGGUUUGGACCUUUACUGCUGUCUGUCAAGCUGAUGAUGAUGUCAUUGUAAGCUGUGAUGAUGUGACUGGUUCUGUGGGGAAAGAAGUAACUCUCACCUGCAGCGUCUCUCUGAAUUGCACUAAUUGCUCCAUUAUAAUGUAUAAGUUUCAAUACCCUGAUAUCAAUAAUGACUGUCGUCGAGAUGUUCCUGUGCACCCCUGUGAACAGAGAAACAGUUUCACAUGCCGCUACACUCCAACUAAAGCAAUGACAAAACAAUUCAGAUUCUUUGUGCAAACAACGUGUGGACAGGACCUAUCAGAAUUCACUGUUAAGACAUCAGUUUCCUCAGAAACAUCAGGAUCCUCUCCACCAGAGACAGCAGCAGGAUUCAGGGGUACUGUCUUCACUGUGGUUGUGGUUGGUUUCAUCAUCAUCCUCAUCAUCAUGACGGCGAUCAUUUGCAAAACAAAACCAAACUUCACCAAACUUUGCAGAGGCCAGAACUGGAUGUUUUUGAGAGUCAGACAUGAUGAGGACAACAAUCGUCCAGGAAUUGAGAUAUUAUAGCAUCGAGUUUUGUUUGACUUUUCAUGUGGUGCUCAUGAAACACAAGCUUUAUUUGAACUCCAUUAAACUCUACACUAUCUUAUAUCUCAAACUUUUGAAAAUAUAUCUCUGGCUGUAGGUUUUUAAACAGUUGUUUCUGUUUUAAAUUGAUUUCUGUGAAAUAACAGCAUAUCAUUGAUCUGUUUGAUCAGAGUAAAUGACUUUAAUAAACUCAAACCUUUGUGAACUUUAAGGAAACAGCGAAACUCAAACUGUGUCUUUUUAAUGACUUUCAAGGAAUGUCUAACAUGAAUGCCAUUUUUAUAUAUUGUAUAAUAGUGUGUAUGAUGUGGUUUUGUAGAGUAUCUUAUUUUUAAAAAAGGACAUUGAAAUGAAUAAAGACUUGUGAUACUCUCUAAAGAUGAAUGUCUGGAUCCUCUGUUUAUGGGUAAGUUCUAGCAGAUAAACGAGUCAAAUGUGUGAAGAGUACAAAGAGCUGAUCUGUAUGUAUGCAUAAUUUAUUUGUCUUAGACAAGUUACAAGUUAUUAUCUUAUUCUGCAGGAAACAUUUAGAUAUUUGGGGUUAUAAGAGUUUUGUUAUUUUAUAAAACAGAUUUGGAGGUGAUUGUAGUGUAAACCUCUACAGUUUUAAUCAACCUUGAGUAUUUACUUUUUUUACAAAAACUAACAAACCUGUAAUUAAAUUAUAUUAAAUAAGUUUAAUAAAAGUCAAAUAAGAACUAAAGUAAGCACUAAAGAAAAUAAGCACUUAAGAAAAUUUUACACAGACUACCCAGGGCUACAUAAAGUGCAUGUGUGAAUACUGAGUAAACAAGAAGAAAAGCAAGAUGCUGUCACACAGUCUGAUGGUGAGGGCCUGAAUGCUUCUGUACUUCCUGCCAGAUGACAGAAGGGUGAAAAGUUUAUCAGAGGGGUGUGUGGGGUCACCUAAAAUACUGAUGGGUUUGUGAGUACAACAUGAUGUGUAGAUGAUAUCAUGCUUUUAUUCAAAGCAACUUACAUUGUAUUCAAGGUUUAUAUUUGAUCAGUUCAUGCACUCAAACCUGUUGCUAACCCCACUGUCUAUACUGUUUGAGAUACAGGAGUAACUGUCUGAGAAAUAACAACUGUUCCAGGAAAGAGAACAAGAUGAUCCUACAGCUGCUGAAAACAAACAGCUUUCACGUGUCGAGCAUUCAGAGUCAUGAAAAUCUCUCAUUCCAUGAACAGCAGUCAGAUGAGACCACAAGAAUCCUCCUCGAGUGUACACAUGGCAGAUGAACCAUGGACUGAUUUCACAAAAGAAACACAGACAUCUUCAAUUCAUUUUAUUGCAAAGGUUUGUUGUGCAUUUACUGAUCAAUAUGAGUUUUUCAGCACCUGCUAAUUAAUAUCUAUACUGCAAGGUGGCUGAUGCAAACAUUAAUAAUAUGAUUUAAUAAUGGCAAAUAGGAUUUAUAAACAAAAUUCAAAAAACAAAACAAAACCCUCCAUAUUUACUGAAAAUAUAGGCCUACCAUAUAAACAACAAAAUAAAAACAAGAAAUACACAUAAAUAUUAUAUGCAAAAAAUAAAUAUGAGCAGAAAAAAGUAUAUUUAAAUAAAUGAUAAAUUAAAAUAAUUUUAUAAUAAAUAAAUAAAUAAAUAAAUAAAUACAUAGUUUUGCCAUGCAAUCAAACCAUCAUUAAUGUAAUCUUUGAUCACUGCUGUGCCAUUUGAGUCAAAGUGAUGAUGGUCAGACGUUUGUUUGAAUCAGGUCAAGUCAUCUUUAUUUCUAAAACGCUUUAUGCAAUACAGAUCGUUUUAAAGCAGUUUUACUGUCAUAAGAGGCAGAGAUAAUCCCUGGUUUAACAAGUUAAUCGAUUCUCGUAUUAAAGAGCGAGAUGCAUGGGCCAAAGCAAAGAAAACAAAUAACCAUUUGAAUUGGGUACGUUAUAGGACAUUAAGAAAUAAUUGUACAAAAUUAGUUAAGAACUCUAAAUGUGAUUAUUAUUUAAACAUGAUAAAUGAAAAUCUGUAUGAUGCAACUAAAUUUUGGAAACUGACCAAAUCAGUCUGUGGGCUAAAAUCUUCGACUAGUUUGCCUGAAUAUUUAAAGGUUAAGGAAAGAAUUAAAAAGAGGGAAAAAAUAUUGUUAAUGCCAUUAAUAGUUAUUUUAUUAUUGCUGGUUUAAUUCUGAUGUUGUUAAAUUAGCAGAACAUAAAACAAAAAUUAGUGUUGAUUUAUGUCAUCCUACUCAGCUUUUUACUUUUACUCCUAUUUUAGUAGCACAAGUUCACAAAGCUCUAAAAAAAUGCUGGGUUGUUUCAACCCAGAGCCUUAUUUUUAAAAGUUGUGGCAGAUUUCAUAGCGGAACCAAUUGCUGCUAUGUUUAAUUUAAGUUUAACUUCGAAUAUAAUUCCACAUGCAUGGAAAUCAGCUAUGGUUCUCCCUUUGUUAAAAGAGGGUGACCCUUUUGAAUUAGACAAUUACAGACCUAUUUCAAGGCUAUCAGUUAUUGCGAAAGUAUUUGAAUCUCUUGUUAAUGACAAGUAAAACAGUUUUUAAUGGAAAAUAAUAUAUUUUAUAUAAUGAACUUCAAUCAGGUUUUCGCUCAGGUCAUAGUACUAUUACAGCUGCUGUGUUGACUACAAAUUAUAUUAUUACAUGCCUAGAUAAUAAACAGUACUGUGCUGCUCUAUUUGUUGAUCUAUCUAAAGCAUUUGAUUCUGUAGAUCACAAAAUCUUAUUGCAGAGACUCAGUUGCUUGGGUUUUGGUAAAAUGAGUCUAAAUUGGUUUUAUAAUUAUCUGACAGAAAGAAUGCAGUGUGUCUCAGCUGAAAAUUUAAUUUCUACAGAAUUAAAAAUAAAUAAAGGAGUCCCACAGGGAUCUAUUUUAGCUCCUGUUUUAUUUUCACUUUAUAUAAAUUACCUAGGUCCAGAGAAAAACGCGGCAAAAAUUAUACAGUUGCACAAUCUAUGAAUCAAGCCAUAGAGAUGUCA
rnacentral:lncRNA from 1 species